AAAAACUUUUAUUAUUCAUUUGAUAGAUCUCAAAUUCCAUUUUUCCAGUUGAAAUUUUCUUAUAGUUUAACAAGAGUUAAGACCCCCCCCCCCCAAAAGAACCAACACACCACUAACUAAUUUUACCUCUAACUAUAUUUAAUCACGUGAAAUCUACUCUUGCAGUUGUUCCAUGUGAAGUCCAAGGUGUAACAGAUCUGGUUUGGCUAGCGUGAAGAACUUUAAAGUUAAACAGUCAUGUUUGAGUGCCAGCUGCUCCUUAGAGACUUUGGAUUUAUAAUUCAAUAUUCAUACACGAUAAAGAGAACUCUGCUUGAAGCACUGUGACCUCUAAAAUGAUUAUAUAAAGUGUAUCCUCUGAGAAGCCUUGGUGCGCACAAUGUCCUAACUAAAAACAACACGCUAAACAGAAAACACAUUACAGUGAUGAAAAUCUGCCAAACAAGAAGGAAUGCGAAUUUAUUACAUCCUUGGUAAAAUAGGAUUAAAUCAUUAGACUAAGCACAGCAACGCAUUUGUGAGUGUAUCCAUAUAUAAUUAGGACAAUAACUGCUGGAUAAAGAACCACUCACUCCUAAUGGUGGACUCCCAGGACAUUGGUGUUCAUAGUGGGGAAACAACCAAACAGGAACAUAGCUCCAGAUUUGGCAUAUAAAAAACAAAACAAAAAAAAACUGCUUUAUGGUAUGGUAUCCAAUGUAAAAAUAGUUUAUCUACCUUUUAUUUCUUCUGUACUAUACAGUUUGCUGCUGAUUUUUAUGCUUUAAUUUAUGAUGCUAUAAAGCAGUCACAUAGACUAACUAGAGGGAAACCCAUAUAAUCUAUUCUAUCACAUCUACUCCAUCCCAGUCAGCGUCUACUACAGCUAUGGUUUUGGGCUGAAAUGGUUCUUUAUCUGCACUUUUAUCCAUUACGAACAUAGCAGAGCAGUGCUAAAGACCUAGUCCCUAACACUGCCUUUCAUCCUUAAUGGGCAUCAUCGUCAUCAUCAAGCGACCAAUUUCUGUCGAACUGCAUGGUGAGGCUGGAAUGGUGUACAUGUUCAAUUUACAAUACCAGUUUUCGAAAAAGUAAUUAAACUAUGCAUCUGUGGAUACAAUAAGGUCAACAGGUCAUAUCACAAGCCAAAUAUACGUAUAAAGUGGACCAGUGGCGGCUCUAGACUUUGUGAGGCCUUAGGCGAAACUCAAACAUGAGGCCCCCACUAACACCUAAAGUUAAAAAUAGGGGUUGCAUUGUGUGUAUAAGGUGCUGUAGUUGUAGCUAGUCUCUGUAUUCAUCGUUCAGAGGCUUGCAGUGUCGCGGCUCCCUGUGCCGCUGCAUUGUGAUCUCUCUGACUGUAGUUAUGGCAUAAUAUGCAAACUAACUUAAUUUGCAAUAAACAAAUUUAAUUAGCAAUUAUGCCAAUCGUUUAUACAUGACUGAGGGGUAUGUAUAUAUGACUGUAUCACAUUGUCUACCUAUGUGUGACAGGGUUUGGGGUGUGUUGCACAGUUGGAGUACAGGAUUGUAAGGGUUUAUGUAAUAGGGUGAGUGUGGCAGGGUGAAGGGGGUGAGUGGGACAGACUGAUAGAGGAUGAGUGACAGGGUCGGGGGGUGAGUGUGACAGUGCAAGAGAAGGUGAGUCUGACAGGGUUGAUGGGGGGGUUAAUGCAUUAGGGUAGGUGUGGCAAAGCAAGGAGUUUGGUAUGGGUGCAGUGGUUGAGAGUGACAGGAUUAGGAGGGGUUAUGUAAGUUUGGCCAGGUUUAGGGGGCGACUGUGUGUGGGGUCUGAAAGUGUUUGGGAAUGGUGAUAGUGUAUGUGAAGGGGGUGUCGGUGUGUGUGGUAAUGAUAGGGUAUGGGUGGGGAAUGACAAGGUGUGCGGUGGAAGGAUGUGACAGCGUGUGUUUGUGGGAAGGCUGUGAUUGGAUGGGUGUGGGGUGACAGUAGGGGAGCUGUGAGAGGGUGGGGGAGGGGCGGUAGGGGGCUUUGACAGGGUAGGAGGUGGUGGGGGACUGUGACAGGGUAGGAGGUGGUGGGAGACUGACAGGACAAGGGGUAGUGGGGGGGCUGGAGCAGGGGGGCUGUGACAGGGUAGUGGGGUGGUAGGAGGACAGUAGGAGGCAGAGGGUGGUGCUGUGGCUGGGGCAGAGGGUGGUAGGGUGGCUGGGGCAGUGCGUUGCCGUGGUAACCCACGGCAACGCUCUGAUUGGGUGAGAUCGAGAGACCCUCUCAGUCUGCAGCUCUGCGCUCGGCAGAGCUGCAGACAGGCUGGCUCUCUCCCGGGCAGGCAUAGGAGGGGCCUUGCACCUGGCGGCAUUAAGGGCAAGCCGCCGGGCCCCCUCCUGUGUCGGGUCCUCUGUCUGUGACCGAGGACCCGAUCUAUCACACUGCCCUAAGGCGAUUUAGGCGGCCGCGAGGCCCCCAUCAGCGCGAGGCCUUAGGCGGCCGCCUAAAUCGCCUAAUUAGAGAGCUGCCUCUGAAGUGGACCGCAAAUCUAAAGUGACGCCUAAUUGGCAUGUUUCUAGACAGAAUGUCUAGGUGGCUGGGGCAGAGGGUGACUGGGGCAGUGGUGGUAGGGUGGCUGGGGCAGUGGUGGUGGGGCGGCUGGGGCAGUGGUGGUGGUGGCUGGGGCGGUGGUGGUGGCGGCAGAGGCUGGCUGGGGCUGCAGGUGGUAGGUGGUGGCUGGGGCAGAGGGUGGCUGGGGCAGGGUGGUGGGGUGGCUGGGGCGGUGGUGGUAGCUGGGGCAGAGGGUGGCUGGGGCAGAGGGUGGUAGGAGGGCAGGGCAUAAAUACCUGGGGAUUAAUUUGUUCCCUGGAGAUCCAGUGGGUGGCAAGGCUGUAGCCCUGGUGGUCCGGUGGGCUCCCUUUAUGGUCUGCAGCUCCGCCGGGUGCAGAGCUGCAGACCACAUGGUAAGUUUAGUCUCGCGAUCUCAGCCAGUCAGAGCGUUGCCGUGGUAACCCGCGGCAACGCUCUGAUUGGGUGAGAUCGAGAGACCCUCUCAGUCUGCAGCUCUGUGCUCGGCGGAGCUGCAGACAGGCUGGCUCUCUCCUGGGCAGGCAUAGGAGGGGCCUCGCACCUGGCGGCAUUAAGGGCAAGCCGCCGGGCCCCCUCCUGUGUCGGGUCCUCUGUCUGUGACCGAGGACCCGAUCUAUCACACUGCCCUAAGGCGAUUUAGGCGGCCGCGAGGCCCCCAUCAGCGCGAGGCCUUAGGCGGCCGCCUAAAUCGCCUAAUUAGAGCCGCCUCUGAAGUGGACCACAAAUCUAAAGUGACGCCUAAUUGGCAUGUUUCUAGACAGAAUGUCUAGGCUGAAGGAAUAAUGUGUGGGGAGUCAGG
rnacentral:lncRNA from 1 species